CGUGUCCUCUUGAGCGAUGGUGGGCCAAACCUCAGCGAGGACGCUGAGUCCCCAAACGGGGUGUAUGUAACACCCUAGGCGAAUCCCACAUCGGCAAAGCACGAGAGAGAUGCUGGGUUUAUAAGGGGUGAUCCACAGCUUAAUUGGCAAGACGCGUUUUGGGGUGUAUGAACGCCCCAAGAACAAAUCCGUGCGGGCCUUGUUAAGGCCCAUAGCGGACAAUAUCUUGCCAGGUCUGGGUUGGGUCAUGACAAUGUGGUAUCAGAGCGGCUCCUCGUGUCCUCUUGAGCGAUGGUGGGGCAAACCUCAGCGAGGACGCUGAGUCCCCAAAGGGGGUGUAUGUAACACCCUAGGCGAAUCCCACAUCCUCAAAGCACGAGAGAGAUGCUGGGUUUAUAUGGGGUGAUCCACAGAUUAAUUGGCAACACGCGUUUUGGGGUGUAUGAACGCCCCAAGAACAAAUCCGUGCGGGCCUUGUUAAGGCCCAUAGCGGACAAUAUCUUUCCAGAUCUGGGUUGGGUCAUGACAUUGUGGUAUCAGAGCGGCUCCGCGUGUCCUCUUGAGCGAUGGUGGGGCAAACCUCAGCGAGGACGCUGAGUCCCCAAGGGGGGGUGUAUGUAACACCCUAGGCGAAUCCCACAUCGGCAAAGCACGGUAGAGAUGCUGGGUUUAUAAGGGGUGAUCCACACCUUAAUUGGCAAGACGCGUUUUGGGGUGUAUGGGCGCCCCAAGAACAAAUCCGUGCGGGCCUUGUUAAGGCCCAAAGCGGACAAUAUCUUGCCAGGUCUGGGUUGGGUCAUGACAUUGUGGUAUCAGAGCGGCUCCGCGUGUUCUCUUGAGCGAUGGUGGGGCAAACCUCAUCGAGUACGCUGAGUCCCCAAGGGCGGGUGUAUGCAACAACCUAGGCAAAUCCCACAUCGGCAAAGCACGGGAGAGAUGCUGGGUUUAUAAGGGGUGAUCCACACUUUAAUUGGCAAGACGCGUUUUGGGGUGUAUGGGCGCCGCAAGAACAAAUCCGUACGGGCCUUGUUAAGGCCCAAAGCGGACAAUAUCUUGCCAGGUCUGGGUUGGGUCAUGACAUUGUGGUAUCAGAGCGGCUCCGCGUGUCCUCUUGAGCGAUGGUGGGGCAAACCUCAGCGACGACGCUGAGUCCCCAAGGGGGGGUGUAUGUAACACCCUAAGCGAAUCCCACAUCGGCAAAGCACGGGGGAGAUGCUGGGUUUAUAAGGGGUGAUCCACACCUUAAUUGGCAAGACGCGUUUUGGGGUGUAUGGGCGCCCCAAGAACAAAUCUGUGCGGGCCUUGUUAAGGCCCAUAGCGGACAAUAUCUUGCCAGGUCUGGGUUGGGUCAUGACAUUGUGGUAUCAGAGCGGCUCUGCGUGUCCUCUUGAGCGAUGGUGGAGCAAAACUCAACGAGGACGCUGAGUCCCCAAGGGGGGUGCGUAUGUAACACCCUAAGGGAAUCCCACAUCGGCAAAGCACGGUAGAGAUGAUGGGUUUAUAAGGGGUGAUCCACACCUUAAUUGGCAAGACGCGUUUUGGGGUGUAUGGGCGCCCCAAGAACAAAUCCGUGCGGGCCUUGUUAAGGCCCAAAGCGGACAAUAUCUUGCCAGGUCUGGGUUGGGUCAUGACAUUGUGGUAUCAGAGCGGCUCCGCGUGUUCUCUUGAGCGAUGGUGGGGCAAACCUCAUCGAGUACGCUGAGUCCCCAAGGGGGGGUGUAUGCAACACCCUAGGCAAAUCCCACAUCGGCAAAGCACGGGAGAGAUGCUGGGUUUAUAAGGGGUGAUCCACACUUUAAUUGGCAAGACGCGUUUUGGGGUGUAUGGGCGCCCCAAGAACAAAUCCGUGCGGGCCUUGUUAAGGCCCAAAGCGGACAAUAUCUUGCCAGGUCUGGGUUGGGUCAUGACAUUGUGGUAUCAGAGCGGCUCCGCGUAUCCUCUUGAGCGAUGGUGGGGCAAACCUCAGCGAGGACGCUGAGUCCCCAAGGGGGGGUGUAUGUAACACCCUAGGCGAAUCCCACAUCGGCAAAGCACGGGAGAGAUGCUGGGUUUAUAAGGGGUGAUCCACAGCUUAAUUGGCAAGACGCGUUUUGGUGUGUAUGGGCGCCACAAGAACAAAUCCGUGCGGGCCUUGUUAAGGCCCAAAGCGGACAAUAUCUUGCCAGGACUGGGUUGGGUCAUGACGUUGUGGUAUCAGAGCGGCUCCGCGUGUCCUCUUGAGCGAUGGUGGGCCAAACCUCAGCGAGGACGCUGAGUCCCCAAACGGGGCGUAUGUAACACCCUAGGCGAAUCCCACAUCGGCAAAGCACGAGAGAGAUGCUGGGUUUAUAAGGGGUGAAUCACAGCUUAAUUGGCAAGACGCGUUUUGGGGUGUAUGAACGCCCCAAGAACAAAUCCGUGCGGGCCUUGUUAAGGCCCAUAGCGGACAAUAUCUUGCCAGGUCUGGGUUGGGUCAUGACAAUGUGGUAUCAGAGCGGCUCCGCGUGUCCUCUUGAGCGAUGGUGGGGCAAACCUCAGCGAGGACGCUGAGUCCCCAAAGGGGGUGUAUGGAACACCCUAGGCGAAUCCCCCAUCGGCAAAGCACGGGAGAGAUGUUGGGUUUAUAAGGGGUGAUCCACACCUUAAUUGGCAAGACGCGUUUUGGGGUGUAUGGGCGCGCAAGAACAAAUCCGUGCGGCCCUUGUUAAGGCCCAAAGCGGACAAUAUCUUGCCAGGUCUGGGUUGGGUCAUGACAUUGUGGUAUCAGAGCGGCUCCGCGUGUCCUCUUGAGCGAUGGUGGGGCAAACCUCAGCGAGGACGCUGAGUCCCCAAGGGGGGGUGUAUGUAACACCCUAAGAUAAUCCCACAUCGGCAAAGCACGGGAGAGAUGCUGGGUUUAUAAGGGGUGAUCCACAUCUUAAUUGGCAAGACGCGUUUUGGGGUGCAUGGGAGCCCCAAGAACAAAUCUGUGCGGGCCUUGUUAAGGCCCAAAGCGGACAAUAUCUUGCCAGGUCUGGGUUGGGUCAUGACAUUGUGGUAUCAGAGCGGAUCCGCGUGUCCUCUUGAGCGAUGGUGGGGCAAACCUCUGCGAGGAUUCCGUCAUCCUUUAAUAUGUGUAUGUAACACCCUAGGCGAAUCCCACAUCGGCAAAGCACGGGAGAAAUGCUGGGUUUAUAAGGGGUGAUCCACACCUUAAUUGGCAAGACGCGUUUUGGGGUGUAUGGGCGCCCCAAGAACAAAUCCGUGCGGGCCUUGUUAAGGCCCAAAGCAUUGGCAAGACGCGUUUUGGGGUGUAUGGGCGCCCCAAGAACAAAUCCGUGCAGCCCUUGUUAAGGCCCAAAGCGGACAAUAUCUUGCCUGGUCUGGGUUGGGUCAUGACAUUGUGGUAUCAGAGCGGCUCCGUGUGUCCUCUUGAGCGAUGGUGGGGCAAACCUCAGCGACGACGCUGAGUCCCCAAGGGGGGGUGUAUGUAACACCCUAAGCGAAUCCCACAUCGGCAAAGCACGGGAGAGAUGCUGGGUUUAUAAGGGGUGAUCCACACCUUAAUUGGCAAGACGCGUUUUGGGGUGUAUGGGCGCCCCAAGAACAAAUCCCUGCGGGCCUUGUUAAGGCCCAAAGCGGACAAUAUCUUGCCAGGUCUGGGUUGGGUCAUGACAUUGUGGUAUCAGAGCGGCUCCGCGUGUUCUCUUGAGCGAUGGUGGGGCAAACCUCAGCGAGGACGCUGAGUCCCCAAAGGGGGUGUAUGUAACACCCUAGCUAAUCCCACAUCGGCAAAGCACGAGAGAGAUGCUUGGUUUAUAAGGGGUGAUCCACAGCUUAAUUGGCAAGACGCGUUUUGGGGUGUAUGAGCGCCCCAAGAACAAAUCCGUGCGGGCCUUGUUAAGGCCCAUAGCGGACAAUAUCUUGCCAGGUCUGGGUUGGGUCAUGACAAUGUGGAAUCAGAGCGGCUUCGCGUGUCCUCUUGAGCGAUGGUGGGGCAAACCUCAGCGAGGACGCGGAGUCCCCAAGGGGGGUGUAUGUAACACCCUAAGCGAAUCCCACAUCGGCAAAGUACGGUAGAGAUGCUGGGUUUAUAAGGGGUGAUCCACACCUUAAUUGGCAAGACGCGUUUUGGGGUGUAUGGGCGCCCCAAGAACAAAUCCGUACGGGCCUUGUUAAGGCCCAAAGCGGACAAUAUCUGGCCAGGUCUGGGUUGGGUCAUGACAUUGUGGUAUCAGAGCGGCUCCGCGUGUCUUCUUGAGCGAUGGUGGGGCAAACCUCAGCGAGGACGCUGAGUCCCCAAGGGGGGGUGUAUGUAACACCCUAGGCGAAUCCCACAUCGGCAAAGCACGGGAGAAAUGCUGGGUUUAUAAGGGGUGAUCCACACCUUAAUUGGCAAGACGCGUUUUGGGGUGUAUGGGCGCCCCAAGAACAAAUCCGUGCGGGCCUUGUUAAGGCCCAAAGCAUUGGCAAGACGCGUUUUGGGGUGUAUGGGCGCCCCAAGAACAAAUCCGUGCAGCCCUUGUUAAGGCCCAAAGCGGACAAUAUCUUGCCUGGUCUGGGUUGGGUCAUGACAUUGUGGUAUCAGAGCGGCUCCGUGUGUCCUCUUGAGCGAUGGUGGGGCAAACCUCAGCGACGACGCUGAGUCCCCAAGGGGGGGUGUAUGUAACACCCUAAGCGAAUCCCACAUCGGCAAAGCACGGGAGAGAUGCUGGGUUUAUAAGGGGUGAUCCACACCUUAAUUGGCAAGACGCGUUUUGGGGUGUAUGGGCGCCCCAAGAACAAAUCCCUGCGGGCCUUGUUAAGGCCCAAAGCGGACAAUAUCUUGCCAGGUCUGGGUUGGGUCAUGACAUUGUGGUAUCAGAGCGGCUCCGCGUGUUCUCUUGAGCGAUGGUGGGGCAAACCUCAGCGAGGACGCUGAGUCCCCAAAGGGGGUGUAUGUAACACCCUAGCUAAUCCCACAUCGGCAAAGCACGAGAGAGAUGCUUGGUUUAUAAGGGGUGAUCCACAGCUUAAUUGGCAAGACGCGUUUUGGGGUGUAUGGGCGCCCCAAGAACAAAUUCGUGCGGGCCUUGUUAAGGCCCAAAUCAUUGGCAAGACGCGUUUUGGGGUGUAUGGGCGCCCCAAGAACAAAUCCGUGCAGGCCUUGUUAAGGCCCAAAGCGGACAAUAUCUUGCCAGGUCUGGGUUGGGUCAUGACAAUGUGGUAUCAGAGCGGCUCCGCGUGUCCUCUUGAGCGAUGGUGGGGCAAACCUCAGCGAGGACGCUGAGUCCCCAAGGGGGGGUGUAUAUAACACCCUAAGCGAAUCCCACAUCGGCAAAGCACGGGAGAGAUGCUGGGUUUAUAAGGGGUGAUCCAAACCUUAAUUGACAAGACGCGUUUUGGGGUGUAUGGGCGCCCCAAGAACAAAUCCGUGCGGGCCUUGUUAAGGCCCAAAGCGGACAAUAUCUUGCCAGGUCUGGGUUGGGUCAUGAAAUUGUGGUAUCAGAGCGGCUCCGCGUGUUNNNNNNNNNNNNNNNNNNNNNNNNNNNNNNNNNNNNNNNNNNNNNNNNNNNNNNNNNNNNNNNNNNNNNNNNNNNNNNNNNNNNNNNNNNNNNNNNNNNNCCCAAGGGGGGGUGUAUGCAACACCCUAGGCAAAUCCCACAUCGGCAAAGCACGGGAGAGAUGCUGGGUUUAUAAGGGGUGAUCCACACCUUAAUUGGCAAGACGCGUUUUGGGGUGUAUGGGCGCCCCAAGAACAAAUCCGUGCAGGCCUUGUUAAGGCCCAAAGCGGACAAUAUCUUGCCUGGUCUGGGUUGGGUCAUGACAUUGUGGUAUCAGAGCGGCUCCGUGUGUCCUCUUGAGCGAUGGUGGGGCAAACCUCAGCGACGACGCUGAGUCCCCAGGGGGGGUGAAUGUAACACCCUAAGCGAAUCCCACAUCCGCAAAGCACGGGAGAGAUGCUGGGUUUAUAAGGGGUGAUCCACACCUUAAUUGGCAAGACGCGUUUUGGGGUGUAUGGGCGCCCCAAGAACAAAUCCGUGUGGGCCUUGUUAAGGCCCAAAGCGGACAAUAUCUUGCCAGGUCUGGGUUGGGUCAUGACAUUGUGGUAUCAGAGCGGCUCCGCGUGUUCUCUUGAGCGAUGGUGGGGCAAACCUCAGUGAGGACGCUGAGUCCCCAAAGGGGGUGUAUGUAACACCCUAGGCUAAUUCCACAUCGGCAAAGCACGAGAGAGAUGCUGGGUUUAUAAGGGGUGAUCCACAGCUUAAUUGGCAUCCAAAUCAUUCCGGUGGGAGAUUCAGAUUCUUUUUUUUUUUUAUCCUUCGAUAAAAAAAAUUCACUCUUCUCAUUAAAAUUGGAGGUAGAACCAAUAAAGAUUUCUUUUUCUAUUCAUUUCUAGAUUUGAGUACCUCAUUUAAGAAUUAUUUUUGCUCCGGUCAGUAGGAAUAAACUGUAAUACCUGUGAAUGUAAAAUGGCAUGAGGCGGUGAAAGAGUUUAUAAGCAAAGGAAUAUGUUGGAAACAGAGGAAAAACACAUGCACGUGCAAAACAGAGAGAGAGAAGCUGCCAACUUACCCGAUCUUGACCCGCCGGAUCCGACCCGACCCGCGACUUUAACCCGGACGGAUUUCACGUUUCCGACCACCGUUUUGGCCGAGCUUGGUACCGAUCUGAAGCUUAGAAGCCGACCGUCGUUCCCCUGCCAUCCUCACUGCCGAAAACGAACCGGAACGCCGGCGAUCGAAGCUUGAAACCCGCGACUGCUUCACUUUACUCCGCCGAGAUUUUCGUCGGUUUUGAGUGACACCACCGGUUGGAUUUUGUUCCUCAUGACUCCCUCUUCCAUUUCCGACCAUUCAUAGGCACCGAGAGUCGUCGUUUUGCUGCCGGUCGAUUGUUGGAACUCACGGCUGUUGAGCUAGAUUCCGGCGUCGUUGCCGCGCGUUGGAGCUCACCGCCGGUACCAUUGAACUCAGCGUGAUUGGCACUUUAAGAUUUGAGCUUCCUGGCCAGCGUUGACCAAAUUCCGGUGACCGUUGACCGGCAAGGGCAUUUUGGUAAUUUCACACUAUGAGGGCAAUUUUGUCAUUUCUGAGCCUGUGGAUAUUUUAGUAAUGCAUAGAAUUGUGAAUUGGGUGUAAUUACGAUUUCGAGGAUAAUUCGGUGAUUUAUGAUUUCGGAGCAUGUUAAUGAUUUACGGACUCAAGGGCAUUUUAGUAAUUUUAUCGUCACGGGAGUUGUUAAUUAUGGAUAAAUGUUCGUUUCGAGUUAUUGCAUAUAUUUAGUCGGAAUUCCGAUUUACGGAGAAUAAUUAUGUCGUUUCCUUGAUUUAGGAGGAUCCGCGAGCGAGAACCGGUCCGCGGACGUAGACGAUAACCGACUGUGAACACCGUCACUAGACGAUAACCGACUGUGAACACCGUCACUGUGAGUGGAAUAUACGAAACUUAUUUUUAGAGUUAAUUAUGAUAGUGCUGAUUUAAUGAUUUCUCGAAAUGGAUUUUAUUCACUUGUUGAUAUUAUAUGAAAAUGUUUGGUUAAUAAUUUUGCGUAUCGAUUUUGAAUAAAGUGUGAUAUUAUUUGAAAGUUAAGAAAAGUGGAUUCAAAUGUGGUAUGAUUUAAAAUGUGGUCAAAUGUGGUAUGAUUUAAAAUGUGGUAAAGAGGUAUGUGAAUAUGAGUACAGUGAUAUAGAUGAGGGGUAAUAAGGGAGGCCCGCCAAACUGAGGGGUAAUAAGGGAGGUGCGCGCUCUGAUUGUAAGGAGGCCUUUGGGGCCCGUCUGAGUACACACAGAGGCUUUGGGCCGUGUGCUUGGGCGCUUUUGUCCUUUGGGGACUAGAUUAUGCAUGCAGAGAUAUGAUGAGAUAUGAUUUUCAGAUUUGUGAAAUCGAUAUGAUUUGGUGAUAUGAUUUCUAUGGUUGGUAAUCUGAUUUAAAUAUUUAAUGAUUUAUUUCUGAUUUCUCACUUAUGGUUUAAUGAAACCGUGUUUGGAUAUGCUUAUUUCUUUUAAAGUAAAGAUCAAUUUUCAAACCUACUAUCCACUCACUGAUCUCACUGAGUUUUAAACUCACCCCGUUUUUAUUAUAUUUUCCCCCCCUCACCAGGAGGUUGCAGGUACACCAGACCGACCCAGCGACUGUAUAUAUUUUGAGUCUUGGCCACGUGAUGGUGCUAGAGUAUAUAAAUGUUUUUGUUGGGACAUCUUGGUCAUCUUGUUCUUUUGGGGUUGUAUAUUAUAUAACUCAGUAUUUUUGGUUGAGUAUGUUGAGCACUGGAGUUUGUUGUAUAUUCAUAUUUGUACUUUGGGAGUGUUAUAUAUAUAAAGGAGACUCUGUCGAAUUUUCAGCAGAUUCUUUACGUAUAAUAUUAUUUUUAAGUCUGUUUUGAUGUAACUAGAUAGACUCGCCUGGGGGGUUUCGGGGCGGGUCGUUUCAGUUGGUAUCAGAGCAUGGUUUUAGAUUCUGUAGACUUUACUGUCUUAAUCAUAAUAGUUUUAUCUUUAUUAAAGUCAGAGUUUAUCUCUUGUAGGCACCAUCAUGCUUCGUCGUAGUAGUAGACGUGGCCGUGGCCGUGGUCGUACUAGGCCAAUAGCUGGGUUGACUUCUGGUAGUGUACCUGCGGGGGAACGUGAACCCGCGAAUGAGGGGAUAGUUGAAUCCUCUACGCAUGGAAUUGCACAACAGACACCGAGGGAUGCCCCGAAUAUUGAGCAGUCAUUUGAUAGGCUGGCUCAAAUCAUGACUACAGUUGUGCAAAAUCAGACUCAAGCACAUGUCGGUAAUGCAAAUACUAUUGAGCGAGUGAGGAGUUUAGGGGCGAAGAGUUUUAAUGGUUUCGGAGAACCACCUGAGGCUGAGUCAUGGUUUGUUAAGUUAGAGCGUAUUUUUGAUGUGAUGAAGUGUCCAGAAGAUGAUAGAUUAUCCUUCGCCACUUUCCUGCUCGAGGAUAGAGCUUACCAUUGGUGGCAGACAGUGGAGAGACGAUAUCAGGGACAUGCUGCGAUUACUUGGGUUAUUUUCCGCAAGGAAUUCUACGAUCAUUAUUUUCCUGUUGUAUAUCAGGAUAUUAAACGGAGUGAAUUCUUUCGGUUGGUUCAGGGAUCUCUGACAGUUGAGGAGUAUGAGAAGAAAUUUUUAGAUCUCUCUAGAUUUGCUACAUCUGUAGUCGGUGAUGAGAGAGAGAGAUGCAGACGGUUCGAGGAUGGCCUCCGAUUUGAGAUUCGUACCACCGUGACUGCAUCACGAUAUACUGAGUUUGGGGAGGUAGUUGAGGCAGCCAGGAGAGUAGAGCACAGUAUUGCAGAGGGACGUAGAUUUCAUGCACUGAAGCAAAAGCGUAGCCAGAGCUGGGCAGAGGGUGACUCUAGUAGUAGGCCGCCCAAGAGAGGGGGUAUUCCUACGAGUUAUUCUGAUAGUAUGCAAAGGAGUCAGGGUACAGGCUUCAGAGGGGACUCGAGACAAGCUGUUAGUCAUAGUUCUGUACAACCAUUGGUAGGGAGUAAUACCAGGACUCAGGGACAGUACGACCGCAGUAGCGGGGGAUAUCGUGAUGAUCGUUCUAGGAGUUUCCAGCUAACUUCUUGCCCUUCAUGUGGCAGGAAUCAUCAGGGCCAAUGUCGUGUUGGAGACAGAGUUUGUUAUUUAUGUGGUCAGCCUGGACACAUCAGGAGAUUUUGCCCUACUUUAUCUCAGGGUGAUAGCUCUACAGGAGGGACAGCCUCACGGUACCGGCCUUACUCUAGCCAGAUUCAGGGUCAGAGAGGAGUGCAGACAGGAGGUUCUACAUCUACCUUUAGGGGUCAGACGACUGCUUCAGGUCAGAGAGGUCAGUCUGGUCGACCUCAUACUCAGGCUCGAGUUUUUGCUUUGACGCAGCAGGAGGCACGUGCUGCACCCGAAGUUAUUAUGGGUAUAUUAUCUAUCCUUGGCCGCGAGGCUCAUAUUCUUAUUGAUCCUGGAUCCACACACUCUUUUGUUUCUCGUACUUUUGCUAUGCAUAUAGGGCGAGAGCCCGAACUGCUAGAUUGUGAAUUAGUUGUUCGUACACCUACCGGAGAGUCAGUACUUGCUCAGAGUGUGUAUCGAGAUUGUAUGAUUGGAAUGGGUGAACAUGAAUUUGAGGCGAAUUUGAUUUCCUUAGAGAUUUAUGACUUUGAUGCUAUUUUGGGUAUGGAUUGGCUUGAAUCUCAUUAUGCUACGGUGGAUUGUUUCAAAAAGGAUGUUGUGUUUAAAAAGCCAGGGAAAGCUGAGGUGAAAUUUUGUGGGGAGCGCAGAGUUCUACCCUCAUGUGUUAUAUCUGCUAUUAGUGCAAGACGGUUGUUAAGAAAAGGAUGCUCAGCUUAUUUAGCUCAUGUGAUAGAUACAGAAGCUCGAGAAUUGAGAUUGGAGGAUAUUACAGUAGUUAAAGAAUUUCCAGAUGUUUUUCCAAAUGAACUUCCUGGAAUGCCACCUAACAGAGAAGUUGAGUUUUCUAUUGACUUAGUCCCUGGAACAUCUCCAAUAUCUAUGGCACCGUACCGAAUGGCUCCAGCAGAAUUGAAGGAACUGAAGGUUCAAUUGCAAGAGUUGGUAGAGAAAGGGUUUAUUAGACCUAGUGUGUCCCCGUGGGGAGCUCCAGUCUUAUUUGUUAAGAAAAAGGAUGGGACUUUUAGACUCUGCAUCGACUAUAGGCAGUUGAAUAAAGUUACGGUACGCAAUAAGUAUCCACUUCCGCGUAUUGAUGACUUGUUUGAUCAACUCCAAGGGGCAAAAGUAUUUUCUAAGAUUGAUUUGCGCUCGGGUUACCAUCAGCUUAGAAUUAAAGAUGUUGACGUUCCUACAACAGCAUUCAGAACCCGUUAUGGGCACUAUGAGUUCUUAGUGAUGCCAUUUGGAUUGACAAAUGCCCCAGCUGCUUUUAUGGACCUGAUGAACAGGGUAUUUAGCCUAUACCUAGAUCGGUUUGUGAUUGUAUUCAUUGAUGAUAUUUUGGUGUAUUCCCGAAACGAGAAGGAGCAUGCAGAGCAUUUGUGGACUGUUUUACAGACUUUGAGACAGAAGCAGUUGUAUGCCAAGUUCAGCAAAUGUGAGUUUUGGUUGGACAGAGUCGUAUUUUUGGGCCAUGUGAUAUCAGCUGAAGGUAUUUAUGUUGAUCCUCAAAAGAUUGAAGCAGUUGUGAAAUGGGAACGGCCUACAAAUGUCACAGAGGUUCGGAGUUUUCUUGGGUUAGCUGGUUAUUAUCGUAGAUUUGUGGAAGGAUUCUCCAAGAUUGCUAUUCCUAUGACACGAUUAACCAGAAAGAAUGCUAAGUUCCAGUGGGAUGAUGACUGUGAAAAAAGUUUUCAAGAACUUAAGACAUGUUUGACCUCAGCACCAGUUCUUACACUUCCAUCUGGUAAUGAAGGAUUUAUGGUUUACAGUGAUGCCUCUAGGCAGGGAUUGGGUUGUGUAUUGAUGCAGCAUGGGAAAGUGGUGGCUUAUGCCUCUAGACAACUUAAGAAGCAUGAACAAAACUAUCCAACACAUGAUUUAGAACUAGCAGCAGUGGUGUUUGCACUCAAGAUAUGGCGGCAUUACUUAUAUGGAGCAACAUGUCAGAUUUUUACCGAUCAUAAGAGCUUGAAGUAUUUGUUUACUCAGAAGGAGUUGAAUUUGAGACAGAGGAGAUGGAUCGAACUGAUUAAGGACUACGAUUGCACUAUCGAUUAUCAUCCAGGCAAAGCAAAUGUGAUGGCUGAUGCACUAAGUAGAAAGUCUUCCAGCUCUAUCGCUCACUUGCGAGUGAAAUAUGUACCUCUGUUGAUCGAGUUGAGAUCUUUGGAAGUCGAGUUGAAUACUGACAAUCGUGGAGCUUUGAUAGCUAACUUCCGCGUUAGGCCGACUUUGAUUGACAAAGUUCACCAUAUGCAAGCUCAGGACCCACAGUUAAUGAAGUUAAAAGAGGAUGUGCAGAAAGGUUUACGAACCGAUUUUAUGGUGAGAGAGGAUGGAGUUGUAUUCAUGGGUAAUAGACUCUGUGUACCUGAUAUUAAAGAUUUGAAAAAAGAGAUUAUGGAAGAAGCUCACUGUUCAGCCUAUGCGAUGCAUCCUGGUAGUACGAAGAUGUACCGUACCUUGAGAGAUCAUUAUUGGUGGCAGGGCAUGAAGAGAGAGAUAGCAGAAUUUGUUUCUCGAUGUUUGGUCUGUCAACAGAUUAAAGCUGAACACCAGAGGCCUGCAGGGUGCUCUCAGCCGCUUCCUAUUCCAGAGUGGAAGUGGGAGCACAUCACUAUGGAUUUUGUGGCGGGACUUCCACAUACUCAGAAAGGACAUGAUGGUGUUUGGGUGGUUGUAGAUCGACUUACAAAAUCUGCUCAUUUCUUACAUUUCAAGACCACUUAUUCGAUGGACAAGUUGGGAAGUAUUUAUGUGUCUGAAAUAGUUCGACUUCACGGAGUACCUGUGUCCAUAGUCUCAGAUAGAGAUUCCCGGUUUACUUCUAAAUUCUGGACUAGCUUGCAAAAUGCUUUAGGCACCAAGUUGAACUUCAGUACAGCUUUUCAUCCACAGACUGAUGGACAGUCAGAGCGAACUAUUCAAACUCUAGAGGAUAUGUUGCGAGCUUGUGUUAUGGAAUUUAAAGGAAAUUGGGACAAUUAUUUACCUCUGAUGGAGUUUGCUUACAACAACAGUUAUCAAGCUAGUAUUGAGAUGGCACCAUAUGAGGCUUUGUAUGGUAGAAAAUGCAGGACUCCAGUAUGUUGGGAUGAGGUUGGUGAGCGGAGGUUAUUCGGUCCAGAACUAGUCCAGGAUACGAACGAGAAGAUACAAUUGAUUCGGGAUAGAUUAAAGGUGGCUCAAGAUAGACAGAAAAGUUAUGCAGACAAACGUAGGCGGGAACUUGAAUUCGAAGUUGGUGAUAGAGUUUUCAUACGGAUAUCUCCUUGGAAAGGGGUGCUUCGAUUUGGGAAACGUGGGAAGUUAAGUCCACGUUAUAUUGGGCCGUAUGAGAUCGUGGAGCGUAUUGGUCCGUUGGCAUACCGAUUAGCUCUACCACCCGAGUUAUCCAGAAUCCACGAUGUGUUUCAUGUUUCGAUGCUCCGGAAGUACAUAUAUGAUCCGAGUCAUGUGUUGUCGAAGCAACCAAUUCAGUUGAAGGAAGAUUUGACUUACGAAGAGGAACCGGUGGAGAUACUGGAAGAGAAACACCAAGUUCUACGUUCUAAGACCAUCCCUCUAGUAAAAGUGCGAUGGAAGAAUCAUACAAAGGAAGAGGCUACCUGGGAGCGCGAGGACUUAGUGCGAGCUCAAUAUCCCUAUCUUUUCUUAUCAGGUACGUAAAUUUCGAGGACGAAAUUUUUAUAAAGGGGGAGGAUUGUAAUACCUGUGAAUGUAAAAUGGCAUGAGGCGGUGAAAGAGUUUAUAAGCAAAGGAAUAUGUUGGAAACAGAGGAAAAACACAUGCACGUGCAAAACAGAGAGAGAGAAGUUGCCAACUUACCCGAUCUUGACCCGCCGGAUCCGACCCGACCCGCGACUUUAACCCGGACGGAUUUCACGUUUCCGACCACCGUUUUGGCCGAGCUUGGUACCGAUCUGAAGCUUAGAAGCCGACCGUCGUUCCCCUGCCAUCCUCACUGCCGAAAACGAACCGGAACGCCGGCGAUCGAAGCUUGAAACCCGCGACUGCUUCACUUUACUCCGCCGAGAUUUUCGUCGGUUUUGAGUGACACCACCGGUUGGAUUUUGUUCCUCAUGACUCCCUCUUCCAUUUCCGACCAUUCAUAGGCACCGAGAGUCGUCGUUUUGCUGCCGGUCGAUUGUUGGAACUCACGGCUGUCGAGCUAGAUUCCGGCGUCGUUGCCGCGCGUUGGAGCUCACCGCCGGUACCAUUGAACUCAGCGUGAUUGACACUUUAAGAUUCGAGCUUCCUGGCCAGCGUUGACCAAAUUCCGGUGACCGUUGACCGACAAGGGCAUUUUGGUAAUUUCACACUAUGAGGGCAAUUUUGUCAUUUCUGAGCAUGUGGAUAUUUUAGUAAUGCAUAGAAUUGUGAAUUGGGUGUAAUUACGAUUUCGAGGAUAAUUCGGUGAUUUAUGAUUUCGGAGCAUGUUAAUGAUUUACGGACUCAAGGGCAUUUUAGUAAUUUUAUCGUCACGGGAGUUGUUAAUUAUGGAUAAAUGUUCGUUUCGAGUUAUUGCAUAUAUUUAGUCGGAAUUCCGAUUUACGGAGAAUAAUUAUGUCGUUUCCUUGAUUUAGGAGGAUCCGCGAGCGAGAACUGGUCCGCGGACGUAGACGAUAACCGACUGUGAACACCGUCACUGUGAGUGGAAUAUACGAAACUUAUUUUUAGAGUUAAUUAUGAUAGUAAAGCAUGGUUGCGGAAUAAGUAUUUUUAAAUGUGCUGAUUUAAUGAUUUCUCGAAAUGGAUUUUAUUCACUUGUUGAUAUUAUAUGAAAAUGUUUGGUUAAUAAUUUUGCGUAUCGAUUUUGAAUAAAGUGUGAUAUUAUUUGAAAGUUAAGAAAAGUGGAUUCAAAUGUGGUAUGAUUUAAAAUGUGGUAAAGAGGUAUGUGAAUAUGAGUACAGUGAUAUAGAUGAGGGGUAAUAAGGGAGGCCCGCCAAACUGAGGGGUAAUAAGGGAGGUGCGCGCUCUGAUUGUAAGGAGGCCUUUGGGGCCCGUCUGAGUACACACAGAGGCUUUGGGCCGUGUGCUUGGGCGCUUUUGUCCUUUGGGGACUAGAUUAUGCAUGCAGAGAUAUGAUGAGAUAUGAUUUUCAGAUUUGUGAAAUCGAUAUGAUUUGGUGAUAUGAUUUCUAUGGUUGGUAAUCUGAUUUAAAUAUUUAAUGAUUUAUUUCUGAUUUCUCACUUAUGGUUUAAUGAAACCGUGUUUGGAUAUGCUUAUUUCUUUUAAAGUAAAGAUCAAUUUUCAAACCUACUAUCCACUCACUGAUCUCACUGAGUUUUAAACUCACCCCGUUUUUAUUAUAUUUUCCCCCCCUCACCAGGAGGUUGCAGGUACACCAGACCGACCCAGCGACUGUAUAUAUUUUGAGUCUUGGCCACGUGAUGGUGCUAGAGUAUAUAAAUGUUUUUGUUGGGACAUCUUGGUCAUCUUGUUCUUUUGGGGUUGUAUAUUAUAUAACUCAGUAUUUUUGGUUGAGUAUGUUGAGCACUGGAGUUUGUUGUAUAUUCAUAUUUGUACUUUGGGAGUGUUAUAUAUAUAAAGGAGACUCUGUCGAAUUUUCAGCAGAUUCUUUACGUAUAAUAUUAUUUUUAAGUCUGUUUUGAUGUAACUAGAUAGACUCGCCUGGGGGGGUUUCGGGGCGGGUCGUUUCAGUCCCCAAGGGGGGUGUAUGUAACACCCUAAGCGAAUCCCACAUCGGCAAAGCACGGGAGAGAUGCUGGGUUUAUAAGGGGUGAUCCACACCUUAAUUGACAAGACGCGUUUUGGGGUGUAUGGGCGCCCCAAGAACAAAUCCGUGCAGGCCUUGUUAAGGCCCAAAGCGGACAAUAUCUUGCCAUGUCUAGGUUGGGUCAUGACAUUGUGGUAUCAGAGCGGCUCCGCGUGUCCUCUUGAGCAAUGGUGGGGCAAACCUCAGCGAGGACGCGGAGUCCCCAAGGGGGGGUGUAUGUAACACCCUAGGCGAAUCCCACAUCGGCAAAGCACGGGAGAGAUGCUGGGUUUAUAAGGGGUGAUCCACACCUUAAUUGGCAAGACGCGUUUUGGUGUGUAUGGCGCCCCAAGAACAAAUCCGUGCGGGCCUUGUUAAGGCCCAAAGCGGACAAUAUCUUGCCAGGACUGGGUUGGGUCAUGACGUUGUGGUAUCAGAGCGGCUCCGCGUGUCCUCUUGAGCGAUGGUGGGCCAAACCUCAGCGAGGACGCUGAGUCCCCAAACGGGGUGUAUGUAACACCCUAGGCGAAUCCCACAUCGGCAAAGCACGAGAGAGAUGCUGGGUUUAUAAGGGGUGAUCCACAGCUUAAUUGGCAAGACGCGUUUUGGGGUGUAUGAACGCCCCAAGAACAAAUCCGUGCGGGCCUUGUUAAGGCCCAUAGCGGACAAUAUCUUGCCAGGUCUGGGUUGGGUCAUGACAAUGUGGUAUCAGAGCGGCUCCUCGUGUCCUCUUGAGCGAUGGUGGGGCAAACCUCAGCGAGGACGCUGAGUCCCCAAAGGGGGUGUAUGUAACACCCUAGGCGAAUCCCACAUCCUCAAAGCACGAGAGAGAUGCUGGGUUUAUACGGGGUGAUCCACAGCUUAAUUGGCAACACGCGUUUUGGGGUGUAUGAACGCCCCAAGAACAAAUCCGUGCGGGCCUUGUUAAGGCCCAUAGCGGACAAUAUCUUGCCAGGUCUGGGUUGGGUCAUGACAAUGUGGUAUCAGAGCGGCUCCGCGUGUCCUCUUGAGCGAUGGUGGGGCAAACCUCAGCGAGGACGCGGAGUCCCCAAGGGGGGGUGUAUGUAACACCCUAGGCGAAUCCCACAUCGGCAAAGCACGAGAGAGAUGCUGGGUUUAUAAGGGGUGAUCCACAGCUUAAUUGGCAAGGCGAGUUUUGGGGUGUAUGGACGCCCUAUGAACAAAUCCGUGCGGGCCUUGUUAAGGCCCAUAGCGGACAAUAUCUUGCCAGGUCUGGGUUGGGUCAUGAAAUUGUGGUAUAAGAGCGGCUCCGCGUGUUCUCUUGAGCGAUGGUGGGGCAAACCUCAUCGAGGACGCUGAGUCCCCAAGGGCGGGUGUAUGUAACACCCUAGGCGAAUCCCACAUCGGCAAAGCACGGGAGAGAUGCUGGGUUUAUAAGGGGUGAUCCAUACCUUAAUUGGCAAGACGCGUUUUGGGGUGUAUGGGCGCCCCAAGAACAAAUCCGUGCGGGCCUUGUUAAGGCCCAAAGCGGACAAUAUCUUGCCAGGACUGGGUUGGGUCAUGACGUUGUGGUAUCAGAGCGGCUCCGCGUGUCCUCUUGAGCGAUGGUGGGCCAAACCUCAGCGAGGACGCUGAGUCCCCAAACGGGGUGUAUGUAACACCCUAGGCGAAUCCCACAUCGGCAAAGCACGAGAGAGAUGCUGGGUUUAUAAGGGGUGAUCCACAGCUUAAUUGGCAAGACGCGUUUUGGGGUGUAUGAACGCCCCAAGAACAAAUCCGUGCGGGCCCUGUUAAGGCCCAUAGCGGACAAUAUCUUGCCAGGUCUGGGUUGGGUCAUGACAAUGUGGUAUCAGAGCGGCUCCGCGUGUCCUCUUGAGCGAUGGUGGGGCAAACCUCAGCGAGGACGCGGAGUCCCCAAGGGGGGGUGUAUGUAACACCCUAGGCGAAUCCCACAUCGGCAAAGCACGAGAGAGAUGCUGGGUUUAUAAGGGGUGAUCCACAGCUUAAUUGGCAAGGCGAGUUUUGGGGUGUAUGGACGCCCUAUGAACAAAUCCGUGCGGGCCUUGUUAAGGCCCAUAGCGGACAAUAUCUUGCCAGGUCUGGGUUGGGUCAUGAAAUUGUGGUAUAAGAGCGGCUCCGCGUGUUCUCUUGAGCGAUGGUGGGGCAAACCUCAGCGAGGACGCUGAGUCCCCAAGGGCGGGUGUAUGUAACACCCUAGGCGAAUCCCACAUCGGCAAAGCACGGGAGAGAUGCUGGGUUUAUAAGGGGUGAUCCAUACCUUAAUUGGCAAGACGCGUUUUGGGGUGUAUGGGCGCCCCAAGAACAAAUCCGUGCGGGCCAUUUAAGGCCCAAAGCGGACAAUAUCUUGCCAGGACUGGGUUGGGUCAUGACGUUGUGGUAUCAGAGCGGCUCCGCGUGUCCUCUUGAGCGAUGGUGGGCCAAACCUCAGCGAGGACGCUGAGUCCCCAAACGGGGUGUAUGUAACACCCUAGGCGAAUCCCACAUCGGCAAAGCACGAGAGAGAUGCUGGGUUUAUAAGGGGUGAUCCACAGCUUAAUUGGCAAGACGCGUUUUGGGGUGUAUGAACGCCCCAAGAACAAAUCCGUGCGGGCCUUGUUAAGGCCCAUAGCAGACAAUAUCUUGCCAGGUCUGGGUUGGGUCAUGACAAUGUGGUAUCAGAGCGGCUCCGCGUGUCCUCUUGAGCGAUGGUGGGGCAAACCUCAGAGAGGACGGGGAGUCCCCAAGGGGGGGUGUAUGUAACACCCUAGGCAAAUCCCACAUCGGCAAAGCACGGGAGAGAUGCUGGGUUUAUAAGGGGUGAUCCAUACCUUAAUUGGCAAGACGCGUUUUGGGGUGUAUGGGCGCCCCAAGAACAAAUCCGUGCGGGCCUUGUUAAGGCCCAAAGCGGACAAUAUCUUGCCAGGUCUGGGUUGGGUCAUGACAUUGUGGUAUCAGAGCGGCUCCGCGUGUCCUCUUGAGCGAUGGUGGAGCAAAACUCAGCGAGGACGCUGAGUUCCCAAGGGGGGGUGUAUGUAACACCCUAAGCGAAUCCCACAUCGGCAAAGCACGGUAGAGAUGCGUGGUUUAUAAGGGGUGAUCCACACCUUAAUUGGCAAGACGCGUUUUGGGGUGUAUGAGCGCCCCAAGAACAAAUCCGUGCGGGCCUUGUUAAGGCCCAAAGCGGACAAUAUCUUGCCAGGUCUGGGUUGGGUCAUGACAUUGUGGUAUCAGAGCGGCUCCGCGUGUUCUCUUGAGCGAUGGUGGGGCAAACAUCAGCGAGGACGCUGAGUCCCCAAGGGCGGGUGUAUGUAACACCCUAGGCGAAUCCCACAUCGGCAAAGCACGGGAGAGAUGCUGGGUUUAUAAGGGGUGAUCCACAGCUUAAUUGGCAAGACGCGUUUUGGGGUGUAUGGACGCCCCAAGAACAAAUCCGUGCGGGCCUUGUUAAGGCCCAUAGCGGACAAUAUCUUGCCAGGUCUGGGUUGGAUCAUGACAAUGUGGUAUCAGAGCGGCUCCGCGUGUCCUCUUGAGCGAUGGUGGGGCAAACCUCAGCGAGGACGCUGAGUCCCCAAAGGGGGUGUAUGUAACACCCUAAGCGAAUCCCACAUCGGCAAAGCACGGGGGAGAUGCUGGGUUUAUAAGGGGUGAUCCACACCUUAAUUGGCAAGACGCGUUUUGGGGUGUAUGGGCGCCCCAAGAACAAAUCUGUGCGGGCCUUGUUAAGGCCCAUAGCGGACAAUAUCUUGCCAGGUCUGGGUUGGGUCAUGACAUUGUGGUAUCAGAGCGGCUCUGCGUGUCCUCUUGAGCGAUGGUGGAGCAAAACUCAAUGAGGACGCUGAGUCCCCAAGGGGGGUGUAUGUAACACCCUAAGCGAAUCCCACAUC
rnacentral:lncRNA from 1 species